AGAAAAAACUGCAACCACCCCAGUGUAACAGAAUACCCUUCGCAUGAUUGUUCUAAUAGCCGGUUGCUUGACAGUUCAGGAGCGAGUUAAGAUAGCAGCACGCUAUGAAGUGUGGAAUUCCAUUGUUUUGGUUCAGAGAUGGUGACGUGCAU